UAAAAAAUUCCCUUUGCCAUUUUUCUUUUAUUAGAAUUGUUGGAGGGCAUAUUCACGCAUUGGCCUUAUUAUUGCCAUCAUAAGAAUUUUCAUUCUCAUAUCUCACCCUCAUCUCCUCUUCGAUUUAAAGAUAUUUUUGAAUAUCUUCCAAAGUGUAUUUUUUGGAAUCAUGAAGAAUUUUUUUUCUAUAACCUUUCCAAGAUAAAGGUAGUUUCGCCACUAUUGCUCCUACUUGAAAUGGUUUAGGAAGUUCAAUCUCCGUUGCUCUCAGUUGAUUCACAAUGAUUUGCAACUCAUG
rnacentral:lncRNA from 1 species